rnacentral:tmRNA from 1 species
GGGGAUGUAAAGGGUUCGACGGGGAUUGUAAGCCCUGGUAAGCGAGUAGCGGUGCGGAACCGCUUGAAAAUCCGCAUUUUAUAAAUUAAACAACAACAAUAAAGUUGCUUACGCUGCUGCUUAAUUAGCAGCGCGCGUUCUUACCGGAAGCACCGCGGUCCGGCAAAGAGCGUCGAUUAAGCGGUGAACGUGAACCGGAAAGUAGCCUUGUAUCCGGUCAUGCAUCAAAGGCUACCAAUGCAAAAAGCCUGCCCGUGGGCGUUUUGCGGCGGGAAUUUAAAAACACCGGCUACACUCGUAGAAAGCCUUGGUAAGCGAUUUUCGGACAGGGGUUCGAUUCCCCUCAUCUCCACCA